rnacentral:lncRNA from 1 species
GAGCUUUCAGGAUGAACUUUUCUAUGGAACAUAUGUAGGAUCUGCACAGCACAAAUUGAUCACAGUUUUAUACCCAGAAUGGUACACAUAUCAUUUAAAACCUGUAAUGCAAUACUUCUCUGGGGUGAGAAUUAUGUCAGUUAUGCAGUGAUUUCAUUUGUGUAUGUUGAAAAAUAGUAAACAGAAGAUGGUUGACCCACAAAUUUGUCAAUUUAUUAUUUUAUUUCAUCAAUGUUUGGAUGAGUAUCUGUCCAGAUGCAUUUUGAUGAUCAUUUGGCUGCAAAAUAAGUUUAUUAGGAUUAUUUACUUGCAUCACAUUGAGAUAAUAAUUCUUACACCGAGUUUGCACAUUCAUGCACGAAGGAUUUUGACAGAGAUGGUUUAUGAAGUGAUACCUUUUGCAGUUUUGUUUCUGUUGAAGCAGAAUCAACGGUUCCACCACCAGCAGCAGAGCUCCUAGAGGAAGCAUGGAGCAUUUUCUUCUUCAGCAUCUUUUUCAUGAGAGGUACAGAAGAUUUGUCAGCUUCC